UACAUCUUUCAAAAAGAAAAGAAUAGUCAUGCCUGUUUCACAGGACUGUGGGAAGCUCCGCUGGAAGAGAAGGGAAGGCGGUUUGGGAGCUGGGGCCUGACGGGGUGGCAGCAGUGACGCCGAUGCCGGGCGCGGGGCUGUGAGAAGUGUUCUUUCCUUGGGCAUUUGCAUCUGGCUCAUAAACAGGGCUGGGCAUAGGCACCAGACACACAAGAUGAAUGAGAUACGGCCUUCGCCGGGAGGAACUGACACUGGAGGCAGGGAACACCGAGUCCUGGGAUUGCCACACACCUCCAGGCGGUUUCCGUCAGGACGGAGAGGGGUACUCAUGGUGGCCAGCAGCUUCGCCUUUGUGGACAACAGUGGGAGCCAGCACGUGGUGCGAUGUCACCGUGCCACGAGCAGUCAUCAUAGGAUCAUUAGAAACCUCACCGAAGGUCUUGGCGUAGAAGUCACUUCUCGUGGAGCCUUCCCCUGACAUCGCCGCGCAGACACGCUCUCCCUGGUCCUCCCCUUGGCCUGGGAUGAGUGUCCCUCCCAGGGUCACCGGGGGCACCAGGCCCUCGCCUGUGCACCUGUCCGUCUCUCUAGCUGACUACGAACGUUCCAGGACAGGAACUCUGCUCACGUCGUCUCUCCAGCACCCAGCCCAGCCCAGGCCUGACAUACGGUAGGUGUUCAAGAGAGAUUUGUUGAAAGCGCUCAGGGAGGAAUAAAUGCAUGACUGCUCUGCCCCUCCGGGAUGAGUGGGUCUCUUGUGGGGGGAGGGUGUUCGCUGCUUUUCCCCAGAAAGCCUUGGCUUCAGUGUUCCGUCCCUUUGUCCUCUAACAUCAGGUCUGUCGCACUGUCCGUCCAUCUGAUCUGGAAAAUAGGGUUGCUAUGGCCCUGAGCCGGCUGGCGGGAGCCCCAAGAGCUCUGAGGAUGAACUGCAAACAGCAGGGCAUCUCUGCGUUGAGAGGGAGGAGAGCACAGGAAAAGGGAGUCCUCAGGCCAUGAGUCGCUCACGGGCCACCAAUCUGUUCCCGAGAGGCAGGGCGGUCGGUGUGCAUGCCCAGUGGGCAGGGCAGGUGGUUUGGGCACUUUCUGCUGUGACACCGAGAUCCGCUGUGUAUUUUGCUGGCUCCAGAGGGGAGACGGCAAAGAAUAACCUACAACCACAGCAACGAGGCUGGGGUUCCAGUCCUCCGCCCGUCGUCCCUGUAAAUAGUGGAGGACUUCUGCAACUUUUAGUCUUUCCGCAUCCGGCGUGCACUUCCUGUGUCAUUUCUGUCGCCCUGCCGUUUCACUUAGAUGUAUCCCAGAGCGGCUGGAGGCUGGGAGAAUAUGGUCACUGCGUCUGUUUCCACCUCCUGAGACCAUGAGGCCCACCGCUAGGACACAGCCAUGAAGCCAGGGUCUGGGGCCCAGGCCUUUUAGAGAGGGAACAGGAGAGCAGUGGGGGCUCGGCACCCUGCCCCCACGCUCCUGGAGGCCCCAUCACGAGGUGGCCAGAGCCAGCCCUGGUGAGGACAACCAAUCUAGUGGCAACUAUAUACAAAGUGCACGCUCUGGACGGGUCACAUGACCCAGACAUACUCUCACCUCAAGGCCUUUGCACUUGCUGUUCCUCCGCCUGGAUGCUGUUCCCCUCGGAUUUCUAUAAGGCUCACUCCCUCAGGCCUUCGUGUAAUCGGCCCCCGCUCAGGCAGACCUUCCCUGGUCACCUAUUGAAAUUGACCUCCCUCACUCCCACCCCAUUUCCCUGUGUGGUUGUUCUCCAGAGCACUUACUGCCAUCUGACACACUGGGUUCUUCCUCCCCAUCCUUCCCUCCCUUACUUUUUCCUUCCAUUGUCUGCCUCUUUUCCAUAGAAUGUACCGGAAGAACCACAGCAAUUGUGUUUACAGACGUAACUCUGGCUUACUUCUCUCUUACUCUCUAAUAGAUUAGCCUGCCCCUAGCUGGUGUGGCUCAGUGGAUAGAGCGUCUGCCUGCAGACUGAAGGGUCCCAGGUUUGAUUCCUGCACAUGCCCAGGUUGCAGGCUCGAUCCCCAGGAGGGGGCAUGCAGGAGGCAGUCGAUCUCUCAUUGUUGAUGUUUCUAUCUCUCCCUAUCCCUUCCUCUCUAAAAUCAAUAAAAUAUAUAUUUUUAAAAAAUAAAUAUAUAUAAUGGAUUACCCGAAAAUUUUAGCAGCUUAAGAAAGAUUUUGCACUCGGGUUUGAACAGUGGCUGGAAAUAGACGAGGAACCAGGGAGAAGAUGCCUCGGAGUGGAAAGGGGGAGAGACAGCCUCCUCCCAGGAUGAAAAGAGUGGGGCUUCCACACGGCUCCCAGGAGCUGGUGUCAUGAUGUUUCCCAACAGAGUAGAAAUAAAUCAGUCUCUGGGCUGUGUCUUUAUGUGAGAUACGUUAGGGAAGGAUUAAAGUGAGUCUUUUUAUAAAUAUACCAGUAUAUAUUUCAUUGAAAAAAUCCGCAUUAUUAACCGGCACAUAUUAUGGAAAAAUUCAUAUUAUUAACCGGUACACCUGCUAAUAGUCAUGCUGGCUAAUAAAGCGGAUUUUUAAAAAAA